rnacentral:rRNA from 1 species
UACGUAGGGUGCAAGCGUUGUUCGGAAUUACUGGGCGUAAAGGGCGCGUAGGCGGCCCUGCAAGUCGGGGGUGAAAGCCCGGGGCUCAACCCCGGAGGGUCUCUCGAAACUGCCGAGCUAGAGUGCGGAAGAGGCAAUCGGAAUUCCCAGUGUAGCGGUGAAAUGCGUAGAUAUUGGGAAGAACACCGGUGGCGAAGGCGGAUUGCUGGGCCGAUACUGACGCUGAGGCGCGAAAGCCAGGGGAGCAAACGGG